rnacentral:tRNA from 1 species
CAUUAAGAAGCUAUAUAGCGUUAACCUUUUAAGUUAAAGAUUGAGAGUUUAAAUCCCUCCUUAAUGG